rnacentral:tRNA from 1 species
GCCCAGGUGGCGGAAUUGGUAGACGCACGGGACUCAAAAUCCNNGGUUCGAUUCCGGCCCUGGGCACCA